UACGUAGGGCGCAAGCGUUGUCCGGAAUUAUUGGGCGUAAAGAGCUCGUAGGUGGCUUGUCACGUCGGGUGUUAAAGCUUGGGGCUUAACUCCAGGUCUGCAUUCGAUACGGGCUGGCUAGAGGUAGGUAGGGGAGAACGGAAUUCCUGGUGUAGCGGUGAAAUGCGCAGAUAUCAGGAGGAACACCGGUGGCGAAGGCGGUUCUCUGGGCCUUACCUGACGCUGAGGAGCGAAAGCGUGGGGAGCGAACAGG
rnacentral:rRNA from 1 species